rnacentral:lncRNA from 10 species
GAAAGUUUCUUUUUUUAUAUGUUUAGUUGACACCUAAUAAUUAUACAUACUUAUGGGGUACAGAGUAUUUCCAUACAUGCAUAUGAUGUUUAGUGAUCAAAUAGGUAAUUAGCGUAUCCAUCAGCUCAAACAUCGAUCCUUUCUUUGUGUUGGGAACAUUCAAAAUCCUCUCUUCCAGCGUUGGACCACAUACAAUAAAUGAUUGUUAACCAAAUUCCAAAUUCACCCUGCGGUGUGAAGAGGAAAGGUUCUUUGUCGGACAUUAUUCCAGGGCACUUACUUGCUGGCGUGCUCCCUGCCUCUCCUGCUCCAUUCCUCAGCUGCCAAGUGCUGGCAGGGUUGUGUGUGCAGUUGCAAGUUGUCACUUGGGUAAUAAAGGAGAAGGAGCAUAGCUUGGCAGACUCUCCGACAUGGCCAUGUGCAUCCUGCGCAAAUAGAAUUAUGAUUAAUGACUAGCCUGGCAGCUGAAUUGGACUAGAGAACUUGGCCGAGGUCAAG